UAAGGAAUAUUGGUCAAUGGACGAAAGUCUGAACCAGCCAUGCCGCGUGGAGGAUGAAGGCCCUCUGGGUUGUAAACUUCUUUUAUAUGGGACGAAAAAGGGUCUUUCUAGAUCAACUGACGGUACCAUGUGAAUAAGCACCGGCUAACUCCGUGCCAGCAGCCGCGGUAAUACGGAGGGUGCAAGCGUUAUCCGGAUUCACUGGGUUUAAAGGGUGCGUAGGUGGGUUGGUAAGUCAGUGGUGAAAUCUCCGAGCUUAACUUGGAAACUGCCAUUGAUACUAUCAAUCUUGAAUAUUGUGGAGGUUAGCGGAAUAUGUCAUGUAGCGGUGAAAUGCUUAGAUAUGACAUAGAACACCAAUUGCGAAGGCAGCUGGCUACGCAUAUAUUGACACUGAGGCACGAAAGCGUGGGGAUCAAACA
rnacentral:rRNA from 1 species